UACGUAGGGUGCAAGCGUUGUCCGGAUUUAUUGGGCGUAAAGAGCUCGUAGGCGGUUUGUCGCGUCGACUGUGAAAGCCCGGGGCUCAACUCCGGGUCUGCAGUCGAUACGGGCAGACUAGAGUUCGGUAGGGGAGACUGGAAUUCCUGGUGUAGCGGUGAAAUGCGCAGAUAUCAGGAGGAACACCGGUGGCGAAGGCGGUUCUCUGGGCAUUCCCUGACGCUGAGGAGCGAAAGUGUGGGAGCGAACAGG
rnacentral:rRNA from 1 species